UGACAGCGGGAAGCUUUCGUCAACGUCGGCUGUGGCGGUGUUUUCGUGUGUGAGACAACAGACCACCCUGAUGCGAUGCCGUCCGGCGGUCCAAGCUACGGCAGCUACUGCUGUGUGUCGUGGUGCUUCAACAAUGGCAGAACCCACAAAAAGCCAGGGACGAGUUUCUUCCGCAUACCACGGGACGGCAGGCUGAAAGCAUGGAUGCAGUAUGCUGGUCGAGAUGAUCUGCUGAGUAAGCCGGCCAGCCUGUUGUACGCAACGUACAGGAUUUGUAGCGACCAUUUUACUGCUCAAAGUUUCAUGGACCCUGGGCACACAAGGCUUACGAGAACGGCUGUUCCCAGUGUACAACCAGUUGCACCAUGUAAGUGAUUGACAGAAACUCAAUUAUCUGCAAUAGCAGCCGCUUGUAUUGAAUCAGUGGCAACAGUUAACCUCGGAAGAUCUUUGUAGUCGAUGGAGAAACCUCGCUCCAGAAGUAAUACUUCGAAAGUCUUAAAUUUUGUGAAUGGUGGAUUAUUACCUUCCUAACAGCUUUACAUUUAUGUCGUUUUUUGAUGCUGUUGACCUGUGCAACUUGUUUUGAAAGAGUUUGAAGGGCUAUUUCACAUUAUAUUGAAGCCUGCGUGCACAUGUACAUAUACCUCACAUCAGGGAAAGCUGGCACUGUUGAUAAUUCCACAAACUACAAAUUGCUUGUUUCUCACUUGGUGCCUUAUCUGUUCUUCCACCUUCCA
rnacentral:lncRNA from 1 species